AAACAAAGGAAGGGAAGGUCCCUCGCCUGCUCCACCAGAGUACCCAUCAUCCAUGAUACAGCUCCACCACGCAUAUUCAUUUUAGGCUUUCCCUCCAAAAUCCUAAAUCGCUUCAAAUCCAAUUCCUCUCCCUCCAUUUUCUUUUCAAAAUUAUUCGAAAUCCACCUCCCAAAUUCUCAUGCUAUUUAUCUCCAAUGCCCAAUCCCUCUCUCACCACUGCCACCGUUUCUCCUUUUCCUCAAAUCCCCCAAAUUUCUAGCGUCCAUGGCUGCCUUUAGGUCCUCUGUGUCCUUGAGCUCCAUAGACGGAAAGCACAAAACAGCUGGUGAGAUUCAUGUCAUUGUGGGUCCAAUGUUUGCUGGAAAAACCACCUCUCUUCUCCGUCGCAUCAAGUCUGAAGGCAACAAUGGCAGAAAUGUGGCGAUGAUAAAAUCAAGCAAGGACACAAGAUAUGCUAAAGAUUCAGUGGUGACUCAUGAUGGGUUGAAAUUUCCUUGCUGGGCAUUGCCUGAUCUGGCUUCCUUUCAACAGAAGCUUGGGGAUGAUGCUUACCAAAAGGUUGAUGUCAUUGGUAUUGAUGAAGCUCAAUUUUUUGAAGACCUUUAUGAUUUCUGCUGCAAGGCUGCUGAUCAUGAUGGGAAAACUAUAAUUAUAGCAGGACUUGAUGGGGAUUAUUUGAGGUACUGCCAAUAAAUACAUGCUUUCAUAAUUUCUUUUUCUUAAUAAUCACUCAUCAGCAAUUUUAAAGUGCAAUUUCAGUUACAGCAUAGUUUUUUGAAUCAUGGGAGAAAUUUUCAAUAUUGUUGAUAUGAAUUUGAACUGUAUAUUUUCUGCAAGUUUAGGUUUAGUGCAUUAUGCAAAAUUGGCACUUUUUUUGUUGGAAUUUCAAUACGUUCAUAUUAAGAGUUGUUUUUAAUGUUACAAUUCGAGUGUAAUAAAGAGUUAUAUUAGCUUUUGGAUUGAUAAGUUGUAUUUUUCAGUCAGUUGUUAUUAUUGAUUAUUUGAUUAAGUCAUUGAUGCCAAUCACUUGACCUUUGAUGUCUCUGGGUGCUCCUUUCACACAAACAUGGGUUCCUAUUGAUGGGAAAAAGUUUUGAUUGGUAGGAGGAGCUUUGGUUCUGUUCUUGACAUAAUUCCUCUUGCUGAUACUAUAACCAAGCUGACGGCAAGAUGUGAACUUUGUGGAAAACGAGCCUUCUUUACCUUAAGGAAGACAGCAGAGACCCAGACAGAAUUGAUUGGUGGUGCUGAUGUCUAUAUGCCUGUGUGCCGCCAACACUAUGUUAAUGGACAAGUAGUGAUGGAAGCUGCAAGGAAUGUCCUGGAAUCAUGUAAAGUUCAGUCUGAAUCCCAAGCUGAUACUCCUGCUGCAGUUGUGUAGUUAAAUUUCUUACUCCUUAACAGGCUAAUAUUUAUCUUGGACUUAUUCUAUAAUUACUAUAGUUUUAUGCUAUGCUAAAUUUGGAACUUUUUGUGGUUUUCUUUGAACGUUUUUCAGCUUUUACUCUCAUUAUGUAUACUAUAUUUAGAAUGGCUUUCUCACAGAAGCUUGGUCCAUUUAUUAAUGCAUACGUGGC
rnacentral:misc_RNA from 1 species